rnacentral:ncRNA from 1 species
GUCUAAGUACAUACCUUAAAACGGUGAAGCCGCGAAUGGCUCAUUAAAUCAGCUAUGGUUCCUUAGGUCGUAAAUACUACAUGGAUAACUGUAGUAAUUCUAGAGCUAAUACAUACCUUGAAUAUAUGCAUCUUGUGCAGAUUGUUUCGAUAUAGCCUUAAGUCACAAGGUUUAUUAAGCAAAGAUCGAUAGUGGCUAGUAGUGAAAUUCAGGACAUGCGUUUCGCCCUAUUUGAGACUCGUCAGCUGGAUGUACCUAUACCAUAGAGUUGAUGUUCACUAUGAG